rnacentral:snRNA from 1 species
GAAAAUUAGCUCUUUCAGUAUUUCUCCAGUAGGUUUCUUGAAGAAGAAAACCUUC